rnacentral:tRNA from 1 species
GGAAAGAUGGUCGAGUGGUUUAAGGCAGCGGUCUUGAAAACCGCCGGGGCGCAAGCUCCCGAGGGUUCGAAUCCCUCUCUUUCCGCCA